rnacentral:misc_RNA from 1 species
UUAAGUUCAGCGGGUAUCCCUACCUGAUCCGAGGUCAAGAGUGUAAAAAUGUACUUUUGGACGUCGUCGUUGUGAGUGCAAAGCGCGAGAUGUACUGCGCUCCGAAAUCAAUACGCCGGCUGCCAAUUGUUUUAAGGCGAGUCUACACGCAGAGGCGAGACAAACACCCAACACCAAGCAGAGCUUGAAGGUACAAAAUG